UACUUAUCAAGAGAGGUGGAGGGAAAGGCCCUAUGAAACCCAGCAACCUAUAUGCUUAUCUGCAUAUAAGGUGCUAAAUCCUACAGCAUAGGCUGAGAGAUAAGAA
rnacentral:ncRNA from 2 species